GUGUUUUAUGAAUGGUGAGAAGGUUGGCACUCCCCUUGAGAAGGAUGGAAGAGGUCCUAGUGGCCUAAGCAACACACAUAUGGUUCCGAUGCAGCAUGGCUCAGUGGAAAGAGCACGGGCUUGG